rnacentral:rRNA from 1 species
ACGUAGGACCCAAGCGUUAUCCGGAUUGACUGGGCGUAAAGAGUUGCGUAGGUGGCGAUGUAAGCGGAGUGUGAAAUCGUGUGGCUCAACCAUACGGCUAUGCUCUGAACUGCAUUGCUAGAGGACGAGAGAGGUAGCUGGAAUUCCCUGUGUAGGAGUGAAAUCCGUAGAUAUAGGGAGGAACACCGAUGGCGUAGGCAGGCUACUGGCUCGUUCCUGACACUAAGGCACGAAAGCGUGGGGAGCAAACGGGA